GCCGCCGCCGCCGCCGCCGCUACUGCUGCUGGGGCCGCUGCUGGAGGGGUUCAGAGCCGGCCGCCCGCUAUCAGCGGCUCGGACUCUCCCCGGCUUUGGUGGUGCUAUUUAUUAGACAGCGGGGUGUGGAAGCGUCCUUCCCUAUUUCCGGACCUCCUGCCGCUGCUGCACUGAAUCAGGAAAGAGACCCAGACCGGCGGUUCUUCUCCAUUUAAUUAGAAUAGACCGAGAUGGAAGCUGGUAGGGGCCAUUAAGCGAAAUAAGAACGAAUUGGGAGGCAAAGCAAACGGAGGAGCAGAUCGGGUCCCACUUGGGGGCUCAGAGGAGGCUCUAAUCGUAAUGACGGAUAAGGACCUGCAGGGGGCGAUAGUAUCCAACGCAUGUGGGAGAACCUGACACCCUUGUUGACAGAUGCCUAUUAGUGUAAGACAUUGCAUGCUGGCCUCUGGGGUGUAUUAAAGGUAACCAGAUCUGAAACAUUGGUAAAAUGACCAUAUCUCAACUGCUCCUCAAACAGUUGGCACAUUUAUGCCGGAGUCAACUUUCCUCCCUCCCCCUUCCCUCAUUUGGUCUUUCUCUGCUUUGGGUGAUUGGUGAUGUUGCUCAAGUAUUCUUCAUUCCCUCCUGCUAAAAUGGGGAUAUUUGGGGGGGCAGAAAUAAAAAUACUGCUUGAAUAUAUUUUUUAAUACCCCAAGUAAUUUGUCAGAAAGAAAAUUCAUCUUUUGUUGUUUUUUUGGUUUCCUGGUAGAUUUGCCUUUGAUAAGCAUCUUUGCAAAAAAAAGAAAUGAGUAGCAAAGGCCCUUGCAUGUUCAUUUAAAGUGAAUGCUAAAAACGAACUUUCUUUUCCAUAAGUCAUUGUACACCUAAGAUUAAUUCUUUUUAGUUCAGCCAGGAAAUUUGACAUUGUCCCUGCUUUCUACAUAACUAAUAAAAUAAAUGUAAAAACUACCUUCUGACAUCAACAGCAUGAGGAAGAACUAAGGUCAAAGUAUUCUAAAUAUCUUAAAGGUACGAAGGGGGAUUUUUAUACAUACAUACAAACCUCUGGUUUUACUAGGGGGGGAAAGGGGAAGUAUGGCUUGGAUGGAGUAAGAAUGAGGAAGAAAAAAAAGGGAAAGGAGAGAGGACAGACAAAAAAGGGAGGAAAAAGAAAGAAUCCCUGACCAGGGCCUCCGACAUAGGGUAAUCUUUGGGCCAAUUGCCUGGACUUGGAUAUUGAGUCUUGGUGUUCGUUGGUUGGUUGUUUUCCCUCCUGUCCCUCUAGCUCUAAGACUUUGAUGUUUUCAUUUCCUAAUACAAGUAGCGCCCUCCUUCUUACUCAGACCAAGAGACUGGGCUGAUUAUCAUAGAAUGGUCACAUAGGGAAUCCUUUGGGGGUAAAGGGAAGCAGGGCAAACUCUUUUUAGUCUUUGGCUCUCCAAUUUCACCAUACACAUCGAAUUUAUGUAUAACAUUAACAAAUGUUGGGGAGGGGAGAGGGCCCCCCUCUCCCUUCUCUCUGAACUUUUUACUUUUGAGAAGUCUGCCUCAGGUCAGACCCUUUCCCAACCAAGACCCCCCCCCCCAAUCACCAUCCUUAUCCUUAAGUGGAAGAGAGUUAUGAAGGUCAGAUAAAGGAAGAUCGAAUUGGGAUGGGAAAUGUGAAUGAUCGAGGAUAAGAAGUUGAACGGAGCUCCCAGGAGACAAUAAGCAGAUGGAGAGCGAUAUGGGCAAAGCGGAACCCCAAGUCCAGGUUACUACCAACAACGA